CCAAGUACUACAUAAUCAUCAAAUAUAUGUUUUUAAGGAAGUUAUUUAAGAUGGAAAUUGAUCAAAAUAUUCUCUCUUUCUCUGAGAUGAUCAACUGUACAUAGAUCAAACAAGUUAUGAUCCAUAGAAACUUGUCGAAUAUGAAAGUACAAACAGAAUUUGCUUCGCCAGCAAAAAUUCAAGGCAAAGAUGCAUUGAGAAAAGGAAUUGGAAAUCAUUUAACCCAAAAUACUUUAGAUCCAUCAGAGAAAAGGAAAAAAUAGCCUCUGGAAACGGGGUCUAUAUGUCAAAUUUAGAUAAAAAGAUACAAAAUUUAAUCAAAUUCCAUUCCAUUUUUCCCAAGCUAACCAUUUUCCCAUAAAAAGAGCACAAGAUCUAGAACACAACAACCCACGUUGACAUUUUUAAGAGAACAACAGUUGGAUUAGAAUUAAAAUUAAAAUAAAAUUCAUAACAGAAAACUCAGAUCUGACAGAUAAACUGAGCGUUAAUAUAUGUUAAACUCGAUUACAUAUACAGCAACUACAAUUCUCUUGCCACGGAUAUAAAGCACUACAAAGAUACAAAAAAAAAUGGAGAAUGCGAUAAGAUUAUUAGAGAAUGGGAAGAUCAAAUCGAGCUGAUUGAAAUUUCUGUGUAAUUUUUUACAAUUCUAUGAUUGAAAUCAUACCUUUGAUAUCAAUGCCGAAUCAGUUACAGAAGCGAGAGACGGAGAGAAAACCGGUUGGGAGAAAGCUUCGUAUAAAUAAA
rnacentral:lncRNA from 1 species